rnacentral:tRNA from 1 species
UCCCUGGUGGUCCAGUGGCUAAGACUCUGCACUCCCAAUGCAGGCACCCCGGGUUCGAUUCCUGGUCAGUGAA